AGGAAUUUAAAUUACCACCCAUAGAAAACCCACUGAAUUCACACUCAUUCACUCAUUCAGCACAUGCCUAUGAAGUGCCAACUCACUGCAGGGCACCAGGCACACGGGCCAAUUUUCUAAAAGGCAGUGAGUGCUAACAGAGGCAGCCAACAGGCCUGGAGGACAGGAGCCCCUCGAGCAAUUCCAGCAGCAGAGACUUGUCUAGCUGCCACAGUGAUGCUCCCUGUUUUUGGAGAACGCCCACAUUUGUAUUUCCCAGCUCCGACUGCUCCCCAGCACUCCAGACAUGGAUAUCCUCUUCCAUAAGGGCUGUCACUGAGUUCUCCCUCCGCCCCCAACCCAGCCCCGUGCUUCCUCCAGUCUCCCUAUUGGGGGGGGGGGGGGCGGGCGGGGAACAAGUAUUGGACUUGAGCAAGUGGGCCAUUAAGAGUCCUCUGCAUACAGAUGGCCCAUCAGUCUUGCAGCCAGACAAGCCUGUCAUUUUAAAGAUCACCCUGGCUGUCGCGUGGAAAACGAGCUAUCAGGGAGAGAGGAGACUGGGAGCCUGGCGGGAGCCCCUGCGCGAGCAGGCAAAGAUGCCGUGAACUGACAGCUCGGUACUGGACUUGGGCGGGAGAGCGAUCCGGACACAUUUCAGAGGCCGGGUCCGGCUCUGGGGCGUGAGGAAGUGAUAAUUCCUACUAUUUGAGCAAAGAAAGGGCCAAUCUCAAAUUUGUGAUUUUCACAUCAUUUCUAUGUUUAGAGGAAAAGGAACAGACCUGUGGGACAGACCUGCAGCUUUAGGGAGGGUUAAGGAAGAUGAAGUUGGACAGGCAAGCAGAAAUCUGUCCCUCUUCGAAAAAGCUGUUGGAGUUUUAGAGGACUCUGUGGGAGAUUAAAAUGUGUCUCCUGUUCAUAUCUGGAGUUAGAGACCAGGUAGGGAAGUCACUAAUAGCCUAGAAACAAAAUGCUGUUAUUUCCUCAAUUCGAAGACACACGCCUUUCCACGCUGUGCCGUUCCUGAGGUCAGCAUGCGUCCGACAGGGGCUGCUGGCCAAACGGCCGCCGCCACCCGGGCGCGCGAGGCCUUGUCCCGGCCGCCACACGAAAUGUCUGCUGGAAGAGACCGAGAGAGUGCUGGAAAGAUGACCGUGGUGCAGAAAAGCUCAGGGUCACAGGGAACGGAUUUGGCACGAAUAAAGCCGAUGUCUGCCUUUGAGGAAAAGGCCACAAUUCCCUAACUUCUUGCGAGCCACAGCCAAGUGCUUAUGGGACCCGAAAAGGACGCCGGCAGCCGAUGGAGCAGCGUUACAUUUGCGUCCCCGAGAGAUGUGCAGCCUCCUGCCGACGCCUUCUGGCAUCAUCGGGGGACACGCCACCAUCGUAUCAGAGCAGCUGGCGUGGGAUUUGGUUAAAAUGCCGGGGAGAAGACUGGAGUGUGCUAAAAAGUCUGUGUCACUAUCGUUCUCAAUGACACGAGGGAAAGACACGGACAGCCGAGUCCAAAAAUAAUUCCCAAGAGUCGGGCUUUGGCUAUGAAUUUCUCUAAGCACCUAAAUCAACUUGCUUUGAUUUUAUGCGAUUUUCAUAUAUGCAGUUAUUACAUACAAUAAAAAUCUGUAUUUAAAUAA